GGGCGUGGAGCCGUGGACCUUUGGUCCGCGCCGGGGCUUGCCGCCCCGCACGUCGGAUCUGCAUCCAAACUGCGAAGCUGCGGGGUGGCGAGCAGGGGGCAGCGCAGCGUCGACCAAACCGAACCCCCGCGCGACGCGAGCGCCGAGACGACGAGCGCACGCAGCCGCAGGCCGCAGCAGGGUACGUGGCGUGGCGUGAGCUGGACGCGGGCGGCCGCUGCUGGGGCGGAUGGAUCGGAAGCUGCGCGGCGGCACCAGACUGCUGGCCCUG
rnacentral:lncRNA from 1 species